AUGAGCCAUGAUCGAGGUACUGCACUUCAGCUUGGGCAACAGAGCAAGACCUUGCGUCUAAAAAAGAAACAAAGAUAUUUUUCUCCUUUAGGAUGCGAUGAGGUCACACACCCUCCACUGUACUACCCCUCCAUGGGUGUCUCACUUGUGGCUCCAAGACCCAGCCCCUCCCCAAAAGACAAACAAACCAACCAGCUCACCAUGGCCAUCCCCUCAGGAGUCCCCAGGGAGAUGUCUGAGUGCCACUGGGGAUCUCAUGGUCUACAUGGGUUUCAUCCGCAUCUGUGUUCCCAGUGUCCAGCACAGAGCAAGUCCCAUUGCAGCCUGGCCCCUGCCUCUGGAAACAAACCUCUCUAAGGGUCUUGGACUGAGCAGCUGAUCCCAUCAAGGAUGGAGCUGGCACCCAGAGUUUUCACUUUGUGAGGAUCUCUUGGAGCAGGAAAAGUCUUUGGUUCAAUAAGGAAGGGAGUUCAAAUAGUGGAAGCCGGUGGGGGAAGCUCUGUGAGCUGGGGACCUUCCGAAGGUGAGCAUCUGUGAUCAGCUGUGAUUCUAUCACGCCUGAACCAACCCCUUUCAUAAACACCGGUGGUCAUUAUGCACUGGAUAAAAUCCUUGCCUUUCAGUCAUUUUCAAGCCUUGGUGAUCUAGCCCACCUGCCUUCAUUCAUUCACUCCACGAACGUGCCCCAGGUCCCCAUCUCCACAUCUGUACGCGGGCUGGUCCCUGGACCUGUGACACCUUCCCUCACUCUUACCUACAUUACUCACCAGCCCUUCAUGUUAGAAACCAUCUGUGCCCCUCCAGAACUUGGUCCACAGUUGUUUAUGCUUGUGCCUUAGCUUCCCCAUGGGCUCUGGGCAUGUGUAGAAAGGGUCCACAACUGAGUCAUCCUGAGGACACUCAGGCAGAGCCUUGCCUCUCGCUUUGCACAGCACCAUGGCUCAGCGUCUUCUUGUAAUGAAUAAGGGACUGAGCUUCUCUACACUCCAGUCAUUCCCAGCUCAGAACAGUCCAAGUGCACUGAAGGAUGGAAAGUUGGGAGCACACUUCUCCCACAGGCUCUCCAAAGGGAUUUGAGAGUUCCUUUGGGGAUGCCGUACUUUCUUCAUUGCCACACAGGCAUGGGGCAGCUGUUUGCAUGUCUAUUUGGCAUCCUAAGUACACAAAGAUGGUUUGUCUAUUUCCCAUCUGCUAACCUGCUUGGAUGACCUCCUCCUCAGCACAGCACACAAGAGCACUAAAGUGCCCCAGGGAUGCUGCAGGCAAUGUCUAUACCCCAUUUCCUUCUAGAAACCAGCCCAGGUCAUGCAGCAAUAGAGCAAGCCAAAUGCAAAUGGCCACCUCCUGGGUCCAUCCAUUGUCCUUUCUGGCCUAGAUCCUGCCUCAGUGAUAUAGAAAAAAAGAUGAAGGUGAUCUGGAAGAGGAAGCCUUGAGAUGCUGUCAAAGGAAAAAGAUCCAGGGUAGAAGUAGGGGAGAAGACUGGCAUGUGGGCAACAAACCCCGUCUUCUAAAAAGACCUGUGCCCUUGAAGAAGGGAGAGAGGCCUGGAAGAAAGUCCUGGAGCUCCACCAACUCCAACACCAGUGUGCGCCUACUGCAAAUGCAGGCCAAGGGUUAUUAUUCCCACUUACAGAUGAGAAAACUUAGAUCAUGCUACGGUCUGAAUGCUGGUGUCCCUCCAAUAUUCACAUGUUGGAACUUGAUCCCCAAUGUGAUAGUAUUAAGAGGUGGGGCCUUUUGGAAGUAAUCAAGUCCUGAAGGCUCUGCCCUUAUGAACGGGAUUAUGCCCUUAUAAAAGAGGCUCAAGUGAGCUCCCUGACCUCUUCUGCCACAUGAGAACACAGCAACAAGACGCCAUCUAUGGAGCAGAGGGCAAACCCUUACCGGACACCACAUCUGCUGGGGCCUUGAUCUUGGACUUCCCAGCUUUCAGAACUGCAAGCAAAAAAAUUCUGUUGUUUAUAAAUUACCCAAUCUAAAUUAUUUUGUUGUCCUGGCAGGAAAGGGAUGACAGGUCAGUGCCACAUAACUCACCCAAUCAGAGUGGGCAGGGUGAGGUCUUCUGAUUCCAAGGCCAGAGCCAAGGGGACUAGUUUGUGGGUGAUCCUGGGAAAAAGUGCUAUUUGCUCAUCCAGGAAAUACAGAUUAAAACCUCAGUACAACACACACCCUCAGCAUGGCUAUAAUGAGUAAGAGAGAUUUUUAAAAUUUGGUGUAGGUGAGGAUGUGCAGCAACUGUAACUGCUUUACAUGGCUGGUAAGUAUUCAAACUGGUAUAUCAACACUUUGCGAAAGCAUCUAAUGACUCCUACCAAAGCUAACCAUAUGCAGACCCUAUAACCCAGCAAUUACAUUCCUAGGCAUUCUGGGUACUAGGAUUUUCAUAGCAUUAACUAUAAAGCCAGAAGGCUGGAAAUACCCAAAUACCCAUCAAAAACAUAGGGUUAUUUUUGUUUUGUUUUAUUUUGUUUUUUUGUUUUUUUUUGUUUUGUUUUGUUUGAGACAGAGUCUCGUUCUGUCGCCAGGCUGGAGUGCGGUGGUGCCAUCUCGGCUCACUGCAACCUCCGACUCCCUGGUUCAAGUGAUUCUCCUGCCUCAGCCUCCCAAGUAGCUGGGACUACAGGCACGCACCACCAUGCCCAGUUAAUUUUUGUAUUUUUAGUAGAGACAGGGUUUCACCAUGUCGGCCAGGAUGGUCUUGAUCUCCUGACCUCGUGAUCUACCUGCCUCGGCCUCCCAAAGUGCUGGGAUUACAGGUGUGAGCCACUGACCCUGGCCAGAAAAACAUA
rnacentral:lncRNA from 1 species